UACGGAGGGUGCAAGCGUAAUCCGGAUCCACUGGGUUUAAGGGGUGCGUAGGUGGGCAGGUAGGUCAGGGGGGAAAUCUCUGGGCUUAACCCGGAAACUGCCGUUGAUACUAUCUGUCUUGAAUGUAGUGGAGGUGAGCGGAAUAUGUCAUGUAGCGGUGAAAUGCUUAGAUAUGACAUAGAACACCGAUUGCGAAGGCAGGUGACUAAGCCGUAACUGACGCUGAGGCUCGAAAGCGUGGGGAUCAAACAGG
rnacentral:rRNA from 1 species